rnacentral:rRNA from 1 species
ACUCCUACGGGAGGCAGCAGUGGGGAAUAUUGCACAAUGGGCGCAAGCCUGAUGCAGCCAUGCCGCGUGUGUGAAGAAGGCCUUCGGGUUGUAAAGCACUUUCAGUCGUGAGGAAGGUGGUGUUGUUAAUAGCAACAUCAUUUGACGUUAGCGACAGAAGAAGCACCGGCUAACUCCGUGCCAGCAGCCGCGGUAAUACGGAGGGUGCGAGCGUUAAUCGGAAUUACUGGGCGUAAAGAGCUCGUAGGCGGUGUGUCGCGUCGGCCGUGAAAACUUGGGGCUUAACUCUGAGCGUGCGGUCGAUACGGGCAUCACUUGAGUUCGGCAGGGGAGACUGGAAUUCCUGGUGUAGCGGUGAAAUGCGCAGAUAUCAGGAGGAACACCGGUGGCGAAGGCGGGUCUCUGGGCCGAUACUGACGCUGAGGAGCGAAAGCAUGGGGAGCGAACAGGAUUAGAUACCCUGGUAGCGAGUAG